rnacentral:rRNA from 1 species
GAGAGUCGCAGAUACCAGGUGGCUGCAACUGUUUAUUAAAAACACAGCACUGUGCAAAAUCGUAAGAUGACGUAUACGGUGUGACGCCUGCCCGGUGCCGGAAGGUUAAUUGAUGGGGUUAGACUUCGGUCGAAGCUCUUGAUCGAAGCCCCGGUAAACGGCGGCCGUAACUAUAACGGUCCUAAGGUAGCGAAAUUCCUUGUCGGGUAAGUUCCGACCUGCACGAAUGGCGUAAUGAUGGCCACGCUGUCUCCACCCGAGACUCAGUGAAAUUGAAAUCGCUGUGAAGAUGCAGUGUACCCGCGGCUAGACGGAAAGACCCCGUGAACCUUUACUACAGCUUGGCACUGAACAUUGACCCUACAUGUGUAGGAUAGGUGGGAGGCUUUGAAGCACGUACGCCAGUAUGUGUGGAGCCGUCCUUGAAAUACCACCCUUGUAGUGUUGAUGUUCUAACGUCGACCCCUAAUCGGGGUUGCGGACAGUGCCUGGUGGGUAGUUUGACUGGGGCGGUCUCCUCCCAAAGAGUAACGGAGGAGCACGAAGGUGGGCUAAUCACGGUUGGACAUCGUGAGGUUAGUGCAAUGGCAUAAGCCCGCUUGACUGCGAGAAUGACAAUUCGAGCAGGUGCGAAAGCAGGUCAUAGUGAUCCGGUGGUUCUGAAUGGAAGGGCCAUCGCUCAACGGAUAAAAGGUACUCCGGGGAUAACAGGCUGAUACCGCCCAAGAGUUCAUAUCGACGGCGGUGUUUGGCACCUCGAUGUCGGCUCAUCACAUCCUGGGGCUGAAGUCGGUCCCAAGGGUAUGGCUGUUCGCCAUUUAAAGUGGUACGCGAGCUGGGUUUAGAACGUCGUGAGACAGUUCGGUCCCUAUCUGCCGUGGGCGUUGGAAGAUUGAAGGGGGCUGCUCCUAGUACGAGAGGACCGGAGUGGACGAACCUCUGGUGUUCGGGUUGUGUCGCCAGACGCAUUGCCCGGUAGCUAAGUUCGGAAUCGAUAACCGCUGAAAGCAUCUAAGCGGGAAGCGAGCCCUGAGAUGAGUCUUCCCUGAUACUUUAAGUAUCCUAAAGGGUUGUCGGAGACUACGACGUUGAUAGGUCAGGUGUGUAAGUGCUGUGAGGCAUUGAGCUAACUGAUACUAAUUGCCCGUGAGGCUUAACCAUACAACACCCAAGGGGUUU